GAUGAACGCUGGCGGUAUGCUUUACACAUGCAAGUCGAACGAAAGCUUUAGCUUUAGUGGCAAACGGGUGAGUAACACGUAAGAAUCUACCUUUAGGGGGGAAAUAACAAUUGGAAACGAUUGCUAAUACCCCAUAUACUGAAAAGUGAAAUAAUUUUUUGCCUAAAGAUGAGCUUGCGUCUGAUUAGCUAGUUGGUGAGGUAAUGGCUUACCAAGGCAACGAUCAGUAGCUGGUUUGAGAGGAUGAUCAGCCACACUGGAACUGAGACACGGUCCAGACUUCUACGGAAGGCAGCAGUGGGGAAUUUUCCGCAAUGGGCGCAAGCCUGACGGAGCAAUACCGCGUGAAGGAUGAAUGCCUGUGGGUUGUAAACUUCUUUUAUUAGGGAAGAAUAUAUGACGGUACCUAAUGAAUAAGCAUCGGCUAACUCCGUGCCAGCAGCCGCGGUAAU
rnacentral:rRNA from 1 species